UCAGCCAGUCAGCAUUCAGAGAGUGAGAGACCCCUGACAUAGAUGUGGCCAUCACAUCCCUCCCCUCAGGGCCCAGGGAAAAGGAGCCCACAGAUGCAGGAUGACAUCAUCAUCAGUGAGCCCAAGGAAGCAAAGGAAAUCAUUUGCGAGCUGACCAUUUGAGCCGCUCCUUGUCAGCUCGGUCAGCCUGAAGAUCCAGGACAGUUGACACUCAAAGGAGCCCCAAAUUUAAAUACAAUGUCCUCCAAAUGUC
rnacentral:lncRNA from 1 species